rnacentral:miRNA from 1 species
UGAGCCAGGAUGACUUGCCGG